GGGAAGUGAAGCUGAGGACAGAGUGUUUCUAAUGCAGCUCCAGCAAGGAAACGUCCCACUGAGCACAGCUCCUGGGCUGAAGGUGUGCUUCACUGCAGUAGACAAGAACAGGCUAUCCCUGAAUGAGCAAGUGCCCAGCCACACGGACUGUUACAGUUCUGAAACCUGGAACUAGAGGAAGACUUACCAGCAAGAGGAAUCAUAGAAUCAUAGAAGGAAAGGAGACUCACAGAUACACUACUGCAUAAAUGCCAGACUGCUGUAAAAUUCUUUGAGCCACUGCUGUGUUGUACAGUGUUUUAACUGUUGAGUCAGCAUACUUUCGGCAUGGUAACUGACUGAUCAUCCACUUUAAGUUUGUCUGUGGUAACCUGGCACAGAUGGCAAGUUGACUGAUGCCAAAAAUGUAUGUCAGGAUUUAGAGCGGAUCCUGUUUUCUUACACUUUGUACAUCACAAUAUUAUC
rnacentral:lncRNA from 1 species